GUUUCCCACAAGGCCUUUGGCAGGAACAGGGAUCCUGGGAGCCUGCCAAGCAGAGCGCACAGUGUUCCUGGAGUCUCGCUGCCCAGAUGCCACGGAAUCAGUUGAAGCCAGGUCUCCAGCUGGGGUGGACGUGCCCACCAGCUGCCGAAGGCCAAGACGCCAGGUCCGGUGGACGUGACAAGCAGGACAUGACAUGGUCCGGUGUGACGGCGAGGACAGAGGAGGCGCGUCCGGCCUUCCUGAACACCUUAGGCUGGUGGGGCUGCGGCAAGAAGCGGGUCUGUUUCUUUACUUCCUCCACGGAGUCGGCACACUAUGGCUGCCCUCUGGGCUCCCAGAACCCACAACAUGAAAGGUGAAGCUAGAGGAACCAGACCUCAUCAGCCCAACAUCAAAGACACCAUCGGAACAGCAGCGCCCGCAGCACCCACCCCGCACCGGCGACUCCAUCUUCAUGGCCACCCCCUGCGGCGGACGGUUGACCACCAGCCACCACAUCAUCCCAGAGCUGAGCUCCUCCAGCGGGAUGACGCCGUCCCCACCACCUCCCUCUUCUUCUUUUUCAUCCUUCUGUCUCUUUGUUUCUGAGCUUUCCUGUCUUUCCUUUUUUCUGAGAGAUUCAAAGCCUCCACGACUCUGUUUCCCCCGUCCCUUCUGAAUUUAAUUUGCACUAAGUCAUUUGCACUGGUUGGAGUUGUGGAGACGGCCUUGAGUCUCAGUACGAGUGUGCGUGAGUGUGAGCCACCUUGGCAAGUGCCUGUGCAGGGCCCGGCCGCCCUCCAUCUGGGCCGGGUGACUGGGCGCCGGCUGUGUGCCCGAGGCCUCACCCUGCCCUCGCCUAGUCUGGAAGCUCCGACCGACAUCACGGAGCAGCCUUCAAGCAUUCCAUUACGCCCCAUCUCGCUCUGUGCCCCUCCCCACCAGGGCUUCAGCAGGAGCCCUGGACUCAUCAUCAAUAAACACUGUUACAGCAA
rnacentral:lncRNA from 1 species